rnacentral:rRNA from 1 species
UACGUAGGGGGCAAGCGUUGUCCGGAAUCAUUGGGCGUAAAGAGCGUGUAGGCGGUUCGGUAAGUCGGCUGUGAAAGUCCAGGGCUCAACCCUGGGAUGCCGGUCGAUACUGCCGGACUAGAGUUCGGAAGAGGCGAGUGGAAUUCCCGGUGUAGCGGUGAAAUGCGUAGAUAUCUGGAGGAACACCGGUGGCGAAGGCGGCGUUCUGGACUGCAACUGACACUGAGGAACGAAAGCCAGGGGAGCAAACGGG